AUAAGUACCUGGGGAAAAGGUCCCAUUAAAAUAAGUUUGAGGAAAACUGAGAGAAUCAGUGUUCUGCACUUCAGAACUCAGAGCCUUUCAUGAACCAGGUUAAUUCUUUGCUAUCCAGGACCCAAGUGCUUUUCAUCUUUCUACUCAGCUUUCCUCAGUGUCAGAUUUUAUCAUUCUCUUGGGGAAAAGGUGAGUAUGACAGUUUCGGGAAUCACAUCUCACUCCAAAGUCUCAUUGCUCAGGGAGGCCUCACAGGCCAAUUGCUACAGCAGUUACUGAUAACAGGAAAGGGAUGACCUUGAUAGUCAUGGAUGACCUUGAUAGUCUAGUCUUAGGCUAGAAGGUGAUAGUCCACUCUCACCUUCUAGCCUAAGAAGGGCCACUGCUUUCCCUUAGCUUAGAAAGAAAUUUGGAGCCAAUAAAGAUGAAGGGAAUGGUUGUUGGGUAAGCAAGGAACAAUGUCUGCACAAUUCCAAAGCUCAAGAUAUAACCAAGUGUUCGAGCAGAUCUUUACCAAUUGUCAAAACUCCUACAGGUCUCUUGCAAGUCCACAAAUUCCUAGCAAACAAUGUAACUGCUACAGUGCUUUUUCCUCACACUAUCCUCAUCACCCACCAAAAAACCCAUAAUUGGUGAGCAAAGAAUGCUAUCUAGUUGCCAAACCCUCUUCAGUAUGGUAGAAAAAGUAACAAAUGCAUGAAUCCCAUUGGAAGUAAACUGUAUUCUCUAGUCUGCAGAAAUAAGCUUCACAGUAUCACAAAUUCUGUAGAAACACAGAUAAUGUGAUCACAAUACGUCACGUUGCCGUCUCCCAGAACUGUGGACCUGAAUCACAGGCUAAUGUGUCCCCAGUUCUCUGACUAAGGAGUCACUCUUCGUAGAAUUAAUCCCAGGAAGGUGAUUUUAAUAGUUUCCAGGUAAGUCAGUUGAAAGCGAUUUGACCACGAACAAUUUAAAUGAAAGCAGUUUGGCUGGAAGAACCUCUCCAAAAUGUUAAUUAGUCAAAAAUGAACAUUCUUAGUCACUAGUGAUAAUUAUUGACUAGAUGAGCAAAUACGAGCAAAUCCGCCCACAGACAGCAAUGGCUGACUCUUGGUGAGUGGGAUUGUGGGUGUUUUCUCUAGUCUUCUUUUGCCAGCUUGCAUUUAAUAAUAGAACAGGCAAAGUAAUGAUUUUCUGCAUUGCUUUUGUAAUAAGAAAAAGUAAAAUGAAAGGAUAUGGAAUUUCUCAGGAUUUGAGGGGUUUGUGUUCCCUUCUUUAAAUUCUAAUUCAUCGUAAGCCUAUAUGCCAGCUGUGCUUGUUUGGCGAUUUUUUUAUUUUUGCACACAGAAAUAUUUUGUUUGUUCCAACCAGCCUUUUAAUGCUAGAGAGAACAGGGCAAGAGUAAUUGGCUGGAAAUAAAUCAGAAGUUUUAAAACGUGAAAAUGGCUCUUCCUCAGCGCUGCCUACGGAGGUGGUAGCCAUCUACUAUUCGGCAUCAUGGCUGCCCUCAGACCCCUCAUGAAGCCCAAGAUCAUCAAAAAGAGGACUGAGAAGUUUAUCUCACACCAGUCAGACUGAUAUGUCAAAAUUAAGCAUAAUUGGCGGAAACCCAGACGCAUUGACAAUAGAGUGCACAGAAGGUUCAAGGUAUGGGAGUAACAAGAAAACAAAGCACAUGCUGCCCAGUGGCUUUUGGAAGUUGCUGGUCCAUGAUGUCAAGCAGCUUGAAGUGCUGCCGAUGUGCAACAAAUCUUACUGUGCUGAGAUUGCUCACAAUCUCUCCUCAAAGAACUGUAGAGCCCUAUGGAAAGAGUAGCCCAACUGGCUAUCAGAGUCACUAAUCCCAAAGCCAGGCUGCGCAGCGAAGAAAAUGAAUAGACAGCUUGUGUGCACAUUGUAUUUGUGUUAGUAAAACCAUAAAAUUCUAAAAAUAUGUAAUAAAAAUAAAUAAAAAACAAAAAUGUAGAAAACAAUAGAAAAUUUAAAAGUUUUUAAAACUGCUUUAAAAUGCAUUAAA